AGAAAUGAACAAUCUUUUCUAUCCCAAUUAUAAUGGCCCAAUAUUGCCCGGCCCAUACACAAAUAAAUACCAAAUAAAAAAAGGCCUAAAUGUCUAAAAUUACAGACUAAAAUCAAACUUAAACUCGAAUGGUCCAAUUACAUUAACCCAAAUCUGCAGCCCAUUAAAAAUUAAACCUAAAUGGCCCAAUGCACCUAGCCCACUAACCUAAAUCACUAACCUUAGCCCUCAGCAGCUAUCGCGCCGCAAUCGAACACGAGCUCCCCUCCGAGCCAUACCUCGC
rnacentral:lncRNA from 1 species